rnacentral:rRNA from 1 species
GAUGAACGCUGGCGGCGUGCCUAAUACAUGCAAGUCGAACGCAUAGCGAAAGGUGCUUGCACCUUUCAAGUGAGUGGCGAACGGGUGAGUAACACGUGGACAACCUGCCUCAAGGCUGGGGAUAACAUUUGGAAACAGAUGCUAAUACCGAAUAAAACUUAGUGUCGCAUGACACAAAGUUAAAAGGCGCUUUGGCGUCACCUAGAGAUGGAUCCGCGGUGCAUUAGUUAGUUGGUGGGGUAGAGGCCUACCAAGACAAUGAUGCAUAGCCGAGUUGAGAGACUGAUCGGCCACAUUGGGACUGAGACACGGCCCAAACUCCUACGGGAGGCUGCAGUAGGGAAUCUUCCACAAUGGGCGAAAGCCUGAUGGAGCAACGCCGCGUGUGUGAUGAAGGCUUUCGGGUCGUAAAGCACUGUUGUAUGGGAAGAACAGCUAGAAUAGGAAAUGAUUUUAGUUUGACGGUACCAUACCAGAAAGGGACGGCUAAAUACGUG